GCCUCCGUGGUGUAGUGGUCAGCACGCUGGGCGCGUAUUCUAGAGGUCCGUGGUUCGAGUCCCGGCGAAGGCG
rnacentral:tRNA from 1 species